rnacentral:rRNA from 1 species
CCGGCAAACUCCGUGCCAGCAGCCGCGGUAAUACGGAGGGGGCAAGCGUUGUUCGGAAUUAUUGGGCGUAAAGGGCAUGUAGGUGGUUUGGUUAGUUAAAGGUGAAAUGCCAGGGCUUAACCCUGGAGCUGCUUUUAAUACUGCCAGACUGGAGUCCGGGAGAGGAUAGCGGAAUUCCUAGUGUAGAGGUGAAAUUYGUAGAUAUUAGGAGGAACACCAGUGGCGAAGGCGGCUAUCUGGUCCGGUACUGACACUGAGGUGCGAAAGCGUGGGGAGCAAACMGGAUUAGAUACCCUGGUAGUYCACGCUGUAAACGAUGAGUGCUGGAUGUGGGGGUUUUUACCUCCGUGUUGUAGCUAACGCGUUAAGCACUCYGCCUGGGGACUACGGUCGCAAGACUAAAACUCAAAGGAAUUGACGGGGACCCGCACAAGCGGUGGAGCAUGUGGUUUAAUUYGAUGCAACGCGAAAAACCUUACCACUCCUUGACAUGAAGAUUAGAUCCUCCUUAACAGGAGGGCGCAGUUUCGGCUGGGUCUUGCACAGGUGCUGCAUGGCUGUCGUCAGCUCGUGUCGUGAGAUGUUGGGUUAAGUCCCGCAACGAGCGUAACCCUCACCCUUAGUUGCCAGCGGGUAAUGCCGGGGACUUUAAGGGAACUGCCAGUGGUAAGCUGGAGGAAGGUGGGGAUGAUGUCAAGUCAGCAUGGCCCUUAUGGGGUGGGCUACACACGUGCUACAAUGGUGACUACAAUAGGUUGCAAUGCCGCAAGGCUGAGCUAAUCCGUCAAAAGUCAUCUUAGUUCGGAUUGUCCUCUGCAACUCGAGGGCAUGAAGCAGGAAUCGCUAGUAAUCGUGGAUCAGCAUGCCACGGUGAAUACGUUCUCGGGUCUUGUACACACUGCCCGUCACGCCAU